rnacentral:rRNA from 1 species
AUUGAACGCUGGCGGCAUGCUUUACACAUGCAAGUCGAACGGUAACAGGCCGCAAGGUGCUGACGAGUGGCGAACGGGUGAGUAAUGUAUCGGAACGUGCCCAGUCGUGGGGGAUAACGCAGCGAAAGCUGUGCUAAUACCGCAUACGACCUAUGGAUGAAAGCGGGGGACCGUAAGGCCUCGCGCGAUUGGAGCGGCCGAUAUCAGAUUAGGUAGUUGGUGGGGUAAAGGCUCACCAAGCCGACGAUCUGUAGCUGGUCUGAGAGGACGACCAGCCACACUGGGACUGAGACACGGCCCAGACUCCGACGGGAGGCAGCGGUGGGGAAUUUUGGACAAUGGGCGCAAGCCUGAUCCAGCAAUGCCGCGUGCAGGACGAAGGCCUUCGGGUUGUAAACUGCUUUUGUACGGAGCGAAACGGCCCUCUCUAAUAAAGAGGGCUAAUGACGGUACCGUAAGAAUAAGCACCGGCUAACUACGUGCCAGCAGCCGCCGUAA